CCUACGGGAGGCAGCAGUGAGGAAUAUUGGUCAAUGGACGAGAGUCUGAACCAGCCAAGUAGCGUGAAGGAUGACUGCCCUAUGGGUUGUAAACUUCUUUUAUAUGGGAAUAAAACGUUCCACGUGUGGGAUUUUGUAUGUCCCAUAUGAAUAAGGAUCGGCUAACUCCGUGCCAGCAGCCGCGGUAAUACGGAGGACCCGAGCGUUAUCCGGAUUUAUUGGGUUUAAAGGGAGCGUAGGUGGAUUGUUAAGUCAGUUGUGAAAGUUUGCGGCUCAACCGUAAAAUUGCAGUUGAAACUGGCAGUCUUGAGUACAGUAGAGGUGGGCGGAAUUCGUGGUGUAGCGGUGAAAUGCUUAGAUAUCACGAAGAACUCCGAUUGCGAAGGCAGUUCACUGGACUGCAACUGACACUGAGGCUCGAAAGUGUGGGUAUCAAACAGGAUUAGAUACCCGGGUAGUC
rnacentral:rRNA from 1 species